AAGGCUAAAUACUCCUGACUGACCGAUAGUGAACCAGUACCGUGAGGGAAAGGCGAAAAGAACCCCGGCGAGGGGAGUGAAAAAGAACCUGAAACCGUGUACGUACAAGCAGUGGGAGCACGCUUAGGCGUGUGACUGCGUACCUUUUGUAUAAUGGGUCAGCGACUUAUAUUCUGUAGCAAGGUUAACCGAAUAGGGGAGCCGAAGGGAAACCGAGUCUUAACUGGGCGUUAAGUUGCAGGGUAUAGACCCGAAACCCGGUGAUCUAGCCAUGGGCAGGUUGAAGGUUGGGUAACACUAACUGGAGGACCGAACCGACUAAUGUUGAAAAAUUAGCGGAUGACUUGUGGCUGGGGGUGAAAGGCCAAUCAAACCGGGAGAUAGCUGGUUCUCCCCGAAAGCUAUUUAGGUAGCGCCUCGUGAAUUCAUCUCCGGGGGUAGAGCACUGUUUCGGCAAGGGGGUCAUCCCGACUUACCAACCCGAUGCAAACUGCGAAUACCGGAGAAUGUUAUCACGGGAGACACACGGCGGGUGCUAACGUCCGUCGUGAAGAGGGAAACAACCCAGACCGCCAGCUAAGGUCCCAAAGUCAUGGUUAAGUGGGAAACGAUGUGGGAAGGCCCAGACAGCCAGGAUGUUGGCUUAGAAGCAGCCAUCAUUUAAAGAAAGCGUAAUAGCUCACUGGUCGAGUCGGCCUGCGCGGAAGAUGUAACGGGGCUAAACCAUGCACCGAAGCUGCGGCAGCGACGCUUAUGCGUUGUUGGGUAGGGGAGCGUUCUGUAAGCCUGUGAAGGUGUGCUGUGAGGCAUGCUGGAGGUAUCAGAAGUGCGAAUGCUGACAUAAGUAACGAUAAAGCGGGUGAAAAGCCCGCUCGCCGGAAGACCAAGGGUUCCUGUCCAACGUUAAUCGGGGCAGGGUGAGUCGACCCCUAAGGCGAGGCCGAAAGGCGUAGUCGAUGGGAAACAGGUUAAUAUUCCUGUACUUGGUGUUACUGCGAAGGGGGGACGGAGAAGGCUAUGUUGGCCGGGCGACGGUUGUCCCGGUUUAAGCGUGUAGGCUGGUUUUCCAGGCAAAUCCGGAAAAUCAAGGCUGAGGCGUGAUGACGAGGCACUACGGUGCUGAAGCAACAAAUGCCCUGCUUCCAGGAAAAGCCUCUAAGCAUCAGGUAACAUCAAAUCGUACCCCAAACCGACACAGGUGGUCAGGUAGAGAAUACCAAGGCGCUUGAGAGAACUCGGGUGAAGGAACUAGGCAAAAUGGUGCCGUAACUUCGGGAGAAGGCACGCUGAUAUGUAGGUGAAGUCCCUCGCGGAUGGAGCUGAAAUCAGUCGAAGAUACCAGCUGGCUGCAACUGUUUAUUAAAAACACAGCACUGUGCAAACACGAAAGUGGACGUAUACGGUGUGACGCCUGCCCGGUGC
rnacentral:rRNA from 1 species